GAAAUGCGAUAAGUAAUGUGAAUUGCAGAAUUCAGUGAAUCAUCGAAUCUUUGAACGCACAUUGCGCCCGCCGGUAUUCCGACGGGCAUGCCUGUCCGAGCGUCAUUAGCAACAGUCGAGCCCUUUAGUCAAGCUUGGUAUUAGGUCGCGCCCGCGUGGGCGGGCCUUAACGUCACCGGCGGUGCUAGGUUCGCCUGCACCGAGCGCUGUUAGUACCCACCGCGUUCGAACGGGUUCCGUAAGGGCCCGUGUACCCCCGCCGGAGGGAGGCCUACCCAGGCCGCCCGUCACCAAAAGUUUGACCUCGGAUCAGGUAGGGAUACCCGCUGAACUUAAGC
rnacentral:misc_RNA from 1 species